UAAUGGUAGGGAAAGGAAUUCAGCUUAAAGGUCCUUGUACUAAGAAUGUAAUUGAAUAUCUUAGACGUUGUGGCAAAGAAGAUUUAGCUUCAAGCAUUGGUAGUAUUAAGUGCUGAUGAAUGACCAAGAUUGCUUUAAUAUCGUGAUCCUACUUGUGCCUCAGCAUUGUCAACAAAUAGUCACCUCACCGUGGAGAUUGACCCUCGAUUGUAUUCCAUAUUCCACCUAAUUGAAUUCUUCUCCAGUUUUGUGCAAUAAAAAAAUAGUUGGGCUUCUAGUCAGGUUGGAUUGAUAACUCUUUCCAGAUUUCAACUUACAUCUCAUUUAUUGAUUUUGCACUCUGAUUUGUGUAUUGUCGGCCGAUAGUCUUAUCCAGCAUGAGAUGGAAAGAGCAGGUGAAGUGCUCCUUUGAAUAUUCAAGUUGAGAAGCGAUACUGUCUGGAAUGGAUCAAAUGCACUCCUUUUAAGUGCCCUCUACUCUCCAGUCGGACGUUUUGGAGUUUCCACCUGUGAAGUGAGCACUAGAAAAUGGACUUCGAAAUGACUCCUGAAAGUUUUAUCUUUCAGAUACAUAAAAUUUUGUUUCUGGAUUUGUGCGAAUGUUAGAAGGCCCUUUUUCUUUGGUAUUCUGAUGCUAUUUUCUUCUUCUACUUGAAACUUCACUUUAUUGUUGUGAUCAGACAUGCGCUGUUUUGUUUC